rnacentral:lncRNA from 1 species
AAGAGCCUCUUUGAUGUGGGUUUAAAAAAAGCAUCUAUUUUUAUAAAAAAGAAAAUUUGGAGAAACUUUUUACUGGUCCUGGAACAAAUAUUUUGACUUGAAUACUUUGAGAAAUCUCUUCAUAUGACACCUAGUGAGCUUUUAAAAUUUACCAGGAAAUUUGCAGUGGUUGAAAAAUUUAGAAAGAUUUAUGGUGUAGAAAAUACUUUUGAGAUCUUUGUAUGAAAGGAGUAGAAUCAUUGGGGGAAACACUGCUGGUUUCAUUUUUGUAAUCACCAGUGGAGCGUCUGAUCAUCCUGGUUAUUAUGAUAGGUGGCUCACAUUGAUUUGUGAUUUUGAAACAAAUAAAAAAAAUUUACAAAAGAAUAUAUAAGAGCAGGCAAGAAAUUUAAAUUACCGAGAGAUGGGGGAAAAAUCUGUUCUUCCUAAAGAAAUCCCUUCAGAUAGAGCUCAUGGUGUUUAGUGAUGUACUUGCAGUAUUGUUUGAAGAAUUGUUUUGUCUUAAGGAAAAAAGACGUUGCACAUGAUUUGUACUGCAGCAAAUCAGCAAAAGUGAUCUGAGUUGGAUAUAUUUGAAGGUAUUUUGAAAGUUACGUUCAAGGCUAACACCUGAGCUUUGUGUAAUGUAAAUAAGACCUUGUGUUUAUGAACCUUUCAGCUAAUUUAAUUUUUUUUCCCUUACAUGCCAAGUGAUGUUCAGGUUUUGAAUGUUUUUGUAUCAGUUUUUUCCUUUGUAAAUGGCAUUAACAUUGUUACUUGAGGUCUUGCUUAAUCACUUUUGUUGUCCUGAGGACUUGAAUUUACAGUGCAUCAGAUUUGUUGCUAAUUUCGUCUGUAGAUAGUCUAGCUUCAGCUGUUUAUGGUGAUGCUACAUUUUCGUUUAUAAAUAUGUUUGUGGUAUAAAAAAAUGAGUAUAACCAUAGGUUUUGAACAAAUUUCCUUACAUUUUUCAUACAAAAAUCAUAAAUAUCUGUAUGCUAUUGAAAUUUAACUUUGUAUGAUGCUUAAACCACUAUUUGGGGAAAUAAUAAAAUAAGUCUUUACCAUGUAUGAAAGAAAUUUUAAAAAAUACAAAAUAUUUUCUGAUUAGCAUCUAGCUUAUAAUAAAUUUUCAAAAAAGCUGAAGGCAAAAAUGCCUUCAUCAGGAUGCACUGAGAACUAUAUAGUUACGUCCUGCUUUUUGUAUAAACUGAGAUGCUCACAUGCUUCCCCUUAGAACAGGCAAUGUGCUAUGCAUAACAUAGUUGUACAUUAUCUUUGCGGUUGCUUUGAGUUUUAUUUUUUAUUAUUUAAAAUUGUAGUUAUAAAAUUUUUCAGUAUAGUACAGUACAUAUACUGUGAGGCGCGUGCUAAAGUGAAUAAGCGAGUUUUCAUGCUGACCCACUCAAUGCUAUUCAGAAAUCAAUUGGCUUAGCACUUUCUCAUAUCCUUAGGUGCAUUUAGAUUGUCAGAGUUAACCUUCUGCGUUUAAAAAAAAAAAAAAAAA